rnacentral:RNase_P_RNA from 1 species
GCAGUCGGAUGUUCCAUCGCUGGCGUAUUUACGCAAGAGGAAAGUCCGGGCAACAUAGAGCGCCAUGCUUCUUAACUGGAAGAUGUCCGUGAGGGUAUGCUAGUGUAACAGAAAAUAACCGCCAUUUAUGGUAAGGGUGAAAAUGUGAGGUAAGAGCUCACGGAACCUUGUGGUGACAUGAGGUUGGUACACGACAUGGGUUGAAAGACCAUGUAUACUGGCAAAUGAGGAUUGCUCGUCCAAUGUCAGGGGGUGGGUCGUUUGAGUCUUUCAGCGAUGAAAGAUGUAGAUAAAUGAUGGAAGCGAAUCUGAACUCUUGAAUAGAAAACAAAUUCGUACAGAAUCCGGCUUAUAGUCCGACUGCAUAA